UACGGGAGGCAGCAGUGGGGAAUAUUGCACAAUGGGCGCAAGCCUGAUGCAGCCAUGCCGCGUGUAUGAAGAAGGCCUUCGGGUUGUAAAGUACUUUCAGCGGGGAGGAAGGCGGUGAAGUUAAUAGCUUCACCGAUUGACGUUACCCGCAGAAGAAGCACCGGCUAACUCCGUGCCAGCAGCCGCGGUAAUACGGAGGGUGCAAGCGUUAAUCGGAAUUACUGGGCGUAAAGCGCACGCAGGCGGUCUGUCAAGUCGGAUGUGAAAUCCCCGGGCUUAACCUGGGAACUGCAUUCGAAACUGGCAGGCUAGAGUCUUGUAGAGGGGGUAGAAUUCCAGGUGUAGCGGUGAAAUGCGUAGAGAUCUGGAGGAAUACCGGUGGCGAAGGCGGCCCCUGGGACAAAGCUGACGCUCAGGUGCGAAAGCGUGGGGAGCAAACGAGGAUUAGGAUACCCGGU
rnacentral:rRNA from 1 species